AUGUUCUUACUGCCGUAGGUCUGGAAAACAAAAGGUUAAAUCAAAUGGCAUCCUUCAGUCACACUCUCCACCUCCGACCCCUGGACUGCACUAAGGGUCUGCAUGCUCCUCCCACUUGGGGACGGGGGCUGUACAGGAACUGCACAGGAGUGUCGGGCGUCACCCACUGCCUACUGUAGCACAGGCACGUUAAAAACAUGCCCUGGGAUCCUUCAGUGUCCAUGCAAAGCAGUGCUGGAGAAGGAUGCUGGAGUGAAAGCCCUGGCGACAGCAGUCUUCUCAAGGCAGAGAGCAGAUGUAGCAGGGCAUCAGCAGUGUAGGUGCUCCUAUCCCAGCAAGCUGAUUCAAUCAUGACCUGGAAGGGACAGCGGGGCACGGAGUCUAAGUGGCUCAUUCCACUCUGCUGAUCUGCUAAGAAGGGAGGCAAGUCUGGUUCUUUGGCUCCCAGACUGACUAAACAGGGCUUGUGGGGCCUGUCGUCACCACACAGGGUCUCCUGAAGUCCUGGUGUGGACACCGCAAUCACGGAAGGGCCUGCCGACUAUGCUGGAGUGGUCAUCGGGAUCAACAGGGGAGUCGGAAUGGGGACAGAGCCUGAACUGCUGAGAGGCGGGGACAGGACAGGAUUAGAUAUCACGCAAGACCUGGAGACUUCCGGGUCCUGUCUGAACAGCAGCAGGAUCUGCUCGGUGUUGACGAAGAGAGCCCAGCAGGGGAAGCAGCAAAGCAGCAGGAUGAGGGUGCCACGCUGCAGGAUGGUCCCCACCCGCUUCAUGUUCUUACCGCCAUACGUCUGGGGAAGAGAAGUGUUGCCAAGAGAAAGAAAACCUCUGCAGGCGCAAGACACAACCAAAGGGAACAAGUAAACGAGCCGGCCAUAGGACAGUUCCCCACCUGGGACAUUAGGGUGUCGCAUGCCGAUGCUAAGCCAGAGCCGACUGAGAUGCCAGUAACAUUGAUAACCUGGAGAUGAGAGCACAAAGAGACAAAGCAACCAAUCAGGGAAGGAGGAAGCUCAGGCUGCCAGAGCAUCAUAACUUCACUUGCUGAAUAAUUUACUGUGACU